rnacentral:rRNA from 1 species
AUUGAACGCUGGCGGCAUGCUUUACACAUGCAAGUCGAACGGUAACAGGCCGCAAGGUGCUGACGAGUGGCGCACGGGUGCGUAAUGCAUCGGAACGUGCCCAGUCGUGGGGGAUAACUACUCGAAAGAGUAGCUAAUACCGCAUACGAUCUAUGGAUGAAAGCGGGGGACCGUAAGGCCUCGCGCGAUUGGAGCGGCCGCUGUCAGAUUAGGUAGUUGGUGGGGUAAAGGCUCACCAAGCCAACGAUCUGUAGCUGGUCUGAGAGGACGACCAGCCACACUGGGACUGAGACACGGCCCAGACUCCUACGGGAGGCAGCAGUGGGGAAUUUUGGACAAUGGGCGCAAGCCUGAUCCAGCAAUGCCGCGUGCAGGAAGAAGGCCUUCGGGUUGUAAACUGCUUUUGUACGGAACGAAACGGCUCUGGUUAAUACCCGGGGCUAAUGACGGUACCGUAAGAAUAAGCACCGGCUAACUACGUG